UCCAAUUUAAACACCACUUUACGCUAAACACCCAUGAUGCAGAAUGAAUUAGCAGCCCUGCUCAUGCCUUUGAACAAACUUUGGUGCUCUUUUGUUUGCUUACAGCUGAUUAAUACAUAACCAGUCACAACAGGUGAAUCAUACCACACCUCCGUUAAAGCAUACACACAGAUCUCCAACCGCAAGACCGAGCUCUCAUCGAUCAGAGAAAAAGAAAAGGAAACAGUAAAUGUGGAAACAAGAUGAUGUAUCUUAUAGUGCAGAAAAGCUCGAGACAGGAAAGACCCCAAUUACGCUGAACAAAGACACAUGGUCUUAUUGGGGGCUAGCUAGGCCGCCAGAAUCCAUCGUCCGUGAUGGAUUAAACACCAAUGG
rnacentral:lncRNA from 1 species